CCGGUUCCUGUCCCUCAGCGUGUUGUUAGCUACGAGUUUGCCGUACGUUGACUGCGCACUUUGUGACUGUUGAUAGCCGUUUUCUUCUUCAUCGUCGUCUUUUCAAUUUCAAACCACCAAGUCGAACAGGGGACACUUCUCGGAGAACUAAGGUAAGGCAGGCACACACGAACAAUGGUAAAACACAACAGAACGCCUGUAAACCUGUUCCUGCAGGCUCUACCGGGAGACGCACCAUGUCGAGGCGCGUACAUAAGCGGUGCCUCUUGAAGGAGAAAGGGAACUGUGACGCCGAUGACACUAUGGGCGGUAUAAGUUUCCACCGUUUUCCUCGGGACCCCUUGAGGUACAAGGCGUGGCUGGAGUUUUGCAACCUGGAGGCGGAUACGAGUCUAAUUUCCAUUCGCUCUAAGGUCCUGUGCUCCCAGCACUUCGCACCAGUUGCUUAUUUGCGCACAGGAAGGCUUCGGUGGGAUGCAGUUCCUACAUUGAAGCGCACACUGCAUGGCGUUGGAGGAAGUAGUGCCUACGCCAAUCAGAGCAGACUUGAAAGCAGUGGGCCUUCAACGGAGGAACGUGUGCAAGCUGUGGUAGCCUGCGAUGACGACAGCACAGGAGCAAUACAC